GUUAUUUUGGCAGAAUAGUGCAAUAGAUUUAGAAUCUAUUUAUGUAAUUUAGAUUACAGAUAAUA
rnacentral:tRNA from 1 species